CGUUAGGUGCUAUAUAGAUGUGUUUGGUAUCUAUAGGUUGCAAAAUAUUUGAACGAGGUCAAAAUCUUAUUGAAUAAUUAUACAGGAUUUUGUAAAGCAGUGUAUUUCAAACUACUGUUUAUAACUAAAUAUUUUAUUUUUCAUUGAGACACCGCCCUAAAAGUGUCAAGGGUGGGGGUUUGGGGUUACACACCAUCCAUAAAUUAGGCCCCAGGACCCUUUACUUUGGAGAGAAGCAAGAAUGGCUGGAGUCGACUUUUACUCUGCAUCAUGUGAGUACCCACAUUUAUUUGAGUUUCUUUUUCUAAUUCUCUGAAAUAAAUACACUUAACGCAAAAGCCUGUUAAAGCUAAAGUUUUUUUUUUUGUUUUUUUUUUUAAACAGAUACGCCCAGCACUCAAGUCAUGAACGAAGUUCUAGAGAUCUUGACAACUGAUGAAGAGCUGGUGCCAAGUCUACCAACGAAUCCACAAACACCAGAGCAAGUGCGGAUCAAUCCUGCCGAGGAGAGCGCAAGCUUAUCGACACCUACACUUAUUUGGCCAGAAGAACCAGAAAAAACUUUUGAAGAGGGGAAAAAAUCCCGCCUAAAGCUCAACAAAAAAAGGAGACUUUUUAGCGAAUCAGGUACUGAGAACCACGUGGCAGAGAGGGCCUUGGGAGAAACGGUGGUGAAACAGAUCACAGCACAAAAACCUAUACAGAUUGAAGAGUGCGUAACAGCUGAGGAAACCAAUCAACAGACCAGAGAAUCACACCUCCAGGAGCAAACAGUUGAGGAAGCCCCUGGACACAGAGAGGACAGCAGUGCUGAGGAAAGAAAACAACAGGCCCGAGAAUCACAUCUCCAGGAGCAACCAGCGGCCCAAACAAUUCUCCAGAAGCCAGGGGACACCGAAAGACGGCCCUUUAAGGUCCCAGCCCAUUUGGAAGCUCUGAAAAUCUUCAAUCGUGAGUUACAUUUGGCUGAACAACGUCUCGCGGUGUUGAAGGAGUCUGAGUCUCAUCUGUUUGAACAGCGUCUCGCAGUGCUGAAGGAGUCUGAGUAUCGUUUGUCAGAACGGCUUAAGGUGUUUCAGACAAUCUUUGAGAAAUAUUAGAAAUGGCACAGAGGCAACAACCAGAGCAGUUAGGCAGGGCACACAGCACAGAGAACAUUAACUCACAAAUUUUACAUGCAAUUCAAGCUAUAACUCAAAACAACAGCCCACAAGCUGCUGAAAACAUUCCAAAUGUUUUUAUAAACCCAAAUCUGCUACAGCUUGUUAACAAUAUUAACCAUGACACUAACGACAUGCAUGAAAUGGCUGGUGAUUACUUUGAUCGGUUGAACGAGGCUUUGGCAAACCUUACCGCCGGUGAUGGUGCACUAACCCCUGCAGCAGACUCUCUUGGUUUUCUGAACGAUGCUUUAGAGCGACUAAACCAGGAAGGGGGGAAUCUUAAUGAAUCACCACUAACGCCUACCUCUGAUAACCCACAAGUUUCUGACGAUGUGCAUGCUGCCGCUGCUAAUAGUAAUGAUGAUGAUGAUGGUGUGGUGACUUGUGUUCCUGACAUGGUAGUGGUGCAAAGGCCCUCCUUUAAUUGUGUCGAAAUUAGGCAACGGUUUAACUUUGCAUCCUUGCACGACAUGGACAGCUAUGAGGACUUCUAUAAUGUGUUGCUAAACUUACUUGAUCAUGUAUUGCAUAGAGCUAUGCAGCUGGCUAGACCCAAUGACGUGAUUCAGCUGGAGUUGCGUGGUGACUCCCUGUCUGAGGGUGUGUCCAUAAUUGCUAAUGGCGCUAGUGUGGAUCUGGACACAUUUUUGGGAAUGGUUGGGGAUCUGGUUCAGAGCAAUUUUGAAAUCCUUUCUGAUGAUACAUUGGAACUGGUGGUUCAGAUAGUUCAAAACCCAAAUGGUGGUACCCGUAGAAAAAUAGCCACAUGUCUCAGAAAUGAGGUUUUAAGAAAAAAACUACGGCAUCUAUUUGUAA